UAUGGCCAUUUCACUUUGAAACACUGGUUCUCAUACAAUCACCAAAGUUAAGCAACAUCAAGCCUGCUCAGUACCUAGAAUGGUGACUGCUUGGGAAGUACAGGUGAUGU